rnacentral:lncRNA from 1 species
GACUACUCGUAUUCCAAAAAUAUUCUCAAGAGAGACUCUUAUGAGUGUAGUAUCGCGUAACAAUCAUAUCAAAUCUUACACUUGAACGAUAUUCGCAUUACGUCCUAAAAUAGGCCAAGAUGGGCUAGGUAAUCUAAAGGUCCUUGGCUUCUAAGGUAUAUAUUGGAAAGAGUAUGCUUAACCACGACUACUCGUGUGACAUUAUUGAUCCCAAC